rnacentral:rRNA from 1 species
UACGUAGGGUGCGAGCGUUAAUCGGAAUUACUGGGCGUAAAGCGUGCGCAGGCGGUUCGUUAAGUUCGUCGUGAAAGCCCCGGGCUCAACCUGGGAAUGGCGAUGGAAACUGGCGGGCUGGAGUGUGGCAGAGGGGGGUGGAAUUCCGCGUGUAGCAGUGAAAUGCGUAGAGAUGCGGAGGAACACCGAUGGCGAAGGCAGCCCCCCUGGGCCAACACUGACGCUCAGGCACGAAAGCGUGGGGAGCAAACAGG